rnacentral:rRNA from 1 species
AUCGGCAGAAAUACAAGAAGAGGGCAACGCAGGACCGGGGGAACCCGGAGAAUGCGAGUCAACAAGCUUUUUGGAGCAAGGGCGAAGAGUAAGCGUUCAAGUGACAAAGGGCAGACGGGGAAUGCCUAGGCAGCAGAAGGCGAAGAAGGACGUGGCGAGCUGCGAAAAGCUUCGGGAGCCGCUCACAGGCGUUGAUCCGGAGGAAUCCGAAUGGGGGAACCCA